GACGAACGCUGGCGGCGUGCUUAACACAUGCAAGUCGAACGGUGAAGCUCCAGCUUGCUGGAGUGGAUCAGUGGCGAACGGGUGAGUAACACGUGAGCAACCUGCCCCUGACUCUGGAAUAAGCGCUGGAAACGGCGUCUAAUACUGGAUACGAGAAGGGUCCGCAUGGGCACCUUCUGGAAAGUUUUUCGGUUGGGGAUGGGCUCGCGGCCUAUCAUCUUGUUGGUGAGGUAAUGGCUCACCAAGGCGACGACGGGUAGCCGGCCUGAGAGGGCGACCGGCCACACUGGGACUGAGACACGGCCCAGACUCCUACGGGAGGCAGCAGUGGGGAAUAUUGCACAAUGGGCGAAAGCCUGAUGCAGCGACGCCGCGUGAGGGAUGACGGCCUUCGGGUUGUAAACCUCUUUCAGCAGGGAAGAAGCGAAAGUGACGGUACCUGCAGAAGAAGCACCGGCUAACUACGUG
rnacentral:rRNA from 1 species